CAUGUUCUUAACUACAACAGCCAAAUACGUUACCUGUUAAAUUAUUACGGGAAUGAGCUUUUGUACCUGAUCUUUAUUAUUUUAUUGGCACGCAUAAACGCAUCGAAUCGCCUCUAUCAUAGACCAAUCUUUCACGCACCUAAUGUCUAGUAUGUUCUGCUUCUGGCUGCCUUUAUGUAAAUGCAUUCGAAAUAGACAGGCACUUUUUCGGAGCCCCGGCUUGCUCAUUUUGUUUACUUCAACCUUAACUGCUGCGGUCACAAAUACUUCAACCGUCUCCUCAUCGCCUGCGUCGCGAUUGCUUGUAACUGGAGAUACUCCGCUUUUGUUGUGGCGGCUGCUUCUGUUGUUGUCGUCUAUUAUUUUCUCGCCCACUUUGUUGAUCGUUGUCGUCUGCUUCUUCGCUGUCGCUACUCCCGGUGCGCACCUGCCGUAUCUAUUGCUCACUAGUUCUUUGUUGUGGCGAUAGUUGUGCUGUUGAUGGUACGGUAGGUAGCAGGAGUGUUGCCGCCGUAGUAAUAGCUAUCGGAGCUGCAGUGGAAGAACGAACAGCAUUGGCAAUAGUAACACAACAAUCGCUCAGUCUGCUGCUGGCAGUCUGCUAGCGCUCUAUAGUCCAAACAGUCGCUGCAGCUGUGGAAGGGGCACUUCGAAUGAGCGCCUUUGAGGCUGGGUGCUGCAAGUCGUGGUAGUGAACGGUAGAGACAGGGUGCUCACACUGUAUACAGAGCGCUCUCCUGUCGACGCCUAGGUUAUCGCCCGUUAGUUCGCAGGAAUGACGAGCAGCUUCCUUAAUAGCAAAAGAGCGGCAGGAGGACCGUAUAACGUUUCUUGGACUUGCUGGACCUGAGUAAUGUUAGAGGCGGCCAUCAACUCAGUAACUGGCCCGUAUUGCCCCUCUUCUCAAGCAUUACAUUAUUAGCAGGCUCUUUUUGCCUGUUUUGCUGGUUGUCCCAAUCCAGUGUACCGCCCGCCAAGUCAAGCUGCUUUUUUUCCACUUGUCCUGUGUUGAAACCGAAUGUAGCCCAACAUUGGCGCUGCCGCUGAUUUACAAAAUCGAAAGUUGUGGGUGGACGGGUGGAAGUUUCCCCUCGCGUCUUUUUCUCCUGUUGUUUCCUAUUAUCUUUUUCAAAUUAUCAUCAUCGUCGUCGUCGUUAAGAUAAUGAUCAACGUGUUACUGUCGCAGCAUUUCGUGGUAACAGCUCAUGUCGUCGCUGUUGACGGCUUCCUCAUCACGCGAACGACUGUAUAAAAGAGCUGUUCAGAUAUACGAGACCAGAGCGUGUGGUUCUAUUAUAACAGUUAUUAAUACGACUGCUGUUAGUUGAAUUAUACCUCCUUUGUCGCUGCUGUAUACAUUACAUGCAGUAGCUGUACAAUUGGGGCUUCGAAGUAGCAAACUGAUCUAAUAGACCACAACAGCCCCAUCAAGUUACAAGUUAGAUUAGCCUCUUGUCCUAAGGGUGCUCACCAGCAAGCGAGUGUCAACAACAACGGCCGCAGUAGCAUUUCUAACCGAAUGUCCGUGUGCGUAUGCGUGUGUAUGUGUGUGUGUAUGUGGAAUCAAGAUCAGGGACGGUUCCGUUCUCGUCGCCGGGAAGAUGGAUCGCUAGUGGAAGCAUAUGUGGGAGCAAAGUUAGUGCCUGAGCACUUGGCCGUCGUACGAGGACAAAUCUUAACUUCACUUGCCGCUGCUGCAGCGGUCUACCCGCCCGCCAUAAUCAGUCUCAGUAGCUAGCGGCCGAUCUACAAACGAACGAAACGACAGUAGCAGCUGCAAGCCGAGGUGGGACAGAGAGCUCCGUCCUCCGGAUUCGUCCGUGGUAGUUACAGUGGACACGGGCACGAAACAGCGUGGAAAGACCAACCGUCUAAUCGUUAUCCGUGCCGCCGUGUCUACGUCAACGUUGUCUAUUGAUCAACAACGUGCCUACAACAAGCAAGUAAAGCAAAAAGACAACACGACGCGACGUUAGGUAAACAGAGGGCGGACGUUACGUGAAAGAUUGUGGCAUAAUGAGUUCUGCAGUAAAGCGCAGCCUGGGCCAGGGGGCGCUGGUGUUUGCAAAAGUCAAAGGAUAUCCACACUGGCCAGCCCGCGUCGAAGAAGUUCGUCCUGGAGAUAAAUAUCGAGUGUUGUUUUUCGGCACCUACGAAGUGGGUAUUAUCGACAUAAAAUGUUUGUUUGCCUACGAAGAGAACAAGGCGCGCUUUGCGCGGCCGAACAAAAAACGUUUUUUUAUGGAGGCGCUCGAAGAGAUCGAAAAGCGACCAGGUAUGAAGCCUCCGGUGACUCACGUUAUGGGUCGCAUUGGUGGCGAGAAAAAACCGAAAGAUUCCAGCCUUACUCCAGUACAACCAUCGGCUAAGGACAGCAAAGCCAAGGAGCAGACGCCAGCUUGCGUAGUAAAAGAUGCUAAGACAGGCGUUCAGGGGGCCGUCAAAAAUGUCAAGGUCACACAGGUAUUCACGAAAGAAACGACAAAGACUACGCUCGUUACGGCAAAAGAGGCCAAAGUCAAGGAUAGCCGGUCAGCAACAGCUACGGCAGUAGGAACUACGAUUCUUGGAGGUCCAGCGGGAAAAGAGACGCUGAAAAAGAGUUUAAUCCCUGAAAGAAAAUCAAGUGCAAAUGACAAUACCGAAAGGCGAAAAACGGAUCCGAUUACAGCUGGCGGGAAAGGUGAUAAAAAAAGUGAAAAGCCGCAACAACAACAAAAAAGGAUCUCUCUAACGCGGCCUCCGUUACGGGAUGCCCACGUCAGCCCUAAGAGAAAACGGUCUGAGGCGCCUGCAGAAAAAACUGACGUUAUGGCAGUUUCUAGCUCACCGGAAGAAAAGCCACUCCAACAUAGCAGAGCUGGCAGGGCAAUCAAGCCAAAGAAACUCGAUGACGAAUUGGUCGAAAUUGAGACGAAAUCGCCACGAAAAUCACAGACGCCUUCUCCUGACGCGAAGAAAGAGCGACGUUAUGGACCAGCAGUUAGUGGAAAAAAUGUCGUAAAAACAGAACCUGCGACGUCUUUAAGUCAACAUAAAAAGCUGCUUCCGAAAGGCCGGCGAAAGACCUUACCCCCCGCUGAAAGUGAACGCUCGGAUUCCCCGACGACGAAGCGAACACGGAUCACAGCAAUAAAUUCAGAAACGGAACGAAAAUCUGGGCCGCCAAUGAAUGGCUCAAAAGCGGCUACCACAGGCGCUAGUAGCAAGAAGGUCGGUGUCGGUAACAUUAGAGCGCCUAUUAAAGAAGUUAGGGCUCACGCCAGAGGCGACGAAGACGAGGAUGAAGUGUGUAGCGAAUGUCAUCGCAGAAGCCCAAGGAAACAUGAUCAUUUGUCUCAAGGCGAAGAUGAUACUCCCGGGCCGAAUAUGUCACUUUCGGUAGUUAUUGAGACAAAUCCCAAUCUUGUUGUCAAUUCAAAGCCCGUUGCCGUUUCUGUCGUUCAGGCGAGAUCAUUGAAACAGGAUGGUCGGACGAGUAAGGGCUCAUCAGAGGACACAACUGAGCCUGCAAAAACACUUCGAGAAGAAAGCAAAGCUAGAGGCGCCCCAUCAGCCGACGAGCUGAAAAAACAGGUGGCAUUUCUAGAGCUGACUGAUAAAAAGAUUCGGGCUAAUAUGGGCGGCGAACGAAUGGACCCAGAUAGUGCAUUAGAUGCGAUUGUAGUGCUGGAAGGAAGCUUCAUCACGGCUCCAGCUUUGAUGAGAUUCCCGAAGAUUCUAAAUACGCUUCGACACGUACGGAGAUAUCCGACUAACGAGCGGUUAGCACAGAAGGCCGACUUCAUGUACAAUAAGAUCAAAAACUAUAUGAUGACAGUGUUUAUCAGCGAAGAUGAGAAGGCAGGGUGAAGACAUAUAGUAUAGUAAAAAGGUGAAGAAAAACAUACAAUAUAGUAAAAAUACGAGGCAUUUUCAACGGUCGAAAACUGAAAGCACUAUUCUGGUCUACUUCUUAGUGAAACAUGCGCCACUUGGAAAUUUGCCUUGCCCUUCUAGAAUGCUGUACCUGAACGAGACCUGUUGCGGGCAAAAAGAUAUUUGCUUCCGAAGACUACGUAAGAGAUAUUGCACGGAGAUGUAACGAAGUCCAAAAUAUCCAGCGAAAAUUGUCUGAUAAACACGUACCCGACAACGACGAAAAGCUGGCGCGAGUAUGGAAAAACGAUCAACUUGGUCAGCCGCUACUAUGCUCUAUUGGAGUGAAG